ensembl:lncRNA
AUGUACAGGAUUUUACUUGGCUGUGUGCAUGGGUUUGGUUUUGUUGUUUGUUUGUUUUUUUUUUUCCUAAAAAAUGCUAACCUCUGUUUUCUUCUGUCAUUGUUGUUUUGUUUUUCUCCAUUGCUGCUUUGCCAUCUCGUGUAUCCACAGCUGAGGCCAUGGCAAGGAACAGCUGCAGUGCCACUGGAAUAUAACAGAACAACCCCCUGGUGUUCACUGGGGCAUAAAUUCUCAGAUCCUCAAGUCUUUGACUUAGGUUGUCUUCUUAGGGCUAAGAACUUUAUGCAAACAGGUUAUUUGGGAAGCCAGAUGGACCCAGGCUAAAAUCAUCUGUAUUUCCAACAUGUGAAAAACGAUGUCAGAGUGGACACCUGAAGAGAGGCGUGUGUGUGGUGGGUGCUGAGCACACAGACCGAACCUCAGCUGCCCCAGGUCCCCCAUCAGCUGUCCCAGAGCCACUGUGAGGGUUAAAGGACAGAAAGAGCCCCAGGCACCACUCACAUGUGGACGGGGAUGGCUCUGGAGCAGCCCUGUCCUGGUUCUUUCCCCUUGCUGGCUUUUAACCCUUGUUAGUGGCUGCACCCAUUCUCCAGGAGAGAUGAAUGGAGCACAGCUCUGGGCCUUUUGCUUGUGUUUGGUUUCAGAACAGGCAGGUGAUGUGCUGUGUUCAGCACCCCUCUCUUUUCCUUCAGGUUUUCCCCCUUAGAAAAGGAGACACGGAAAACAGAGCAGCAGAAAUAGGAAGAGGGCAACCAUGUUCUAGUCUGAUGCGGAGUCUCCCUGGGAAAUACCCCCAAGCCUUGGGGAGCAGGGCUGCCUUUAUUGGGUGAGCUGCAAAGCAAAACUUCUGUUCUCUACCAACUACUGGUCGUUAGUACGAAUGCUAACACGGUGUGUGCUCAGCUGGACAGAUGUUCAGUCCUGGCGGGUUGUUAUUUGCUCCUGUAUCGUCCACAAGCACAGUUUAUGGCCAACUCCAGCAAUGCUCCUCUAUACAGCAGCAAUCUGUACGAUUUCUGUAAUGAAACAAAACAACAUACAGGAUUGCUUUGCGUGGCAGAGGGGCGAGAAGCAAACCGCUUUGCAAGUGAUUAACUUUAUUUUGAAGCUCAUAUUUCUCCCCUGCUCCUCGAGGCUGUUCUCAUGCAACCCUCUCUGCGCUGCUCCCCCUGCAACGUCCCAUUGAUUCCCAAUAGCUGAUGGUGGUCGUGCAGGUGGUGAUGGAGGAGCAGCCCCAGAUGCCCUCAUAGGGCGACGUCCCACUGCCCCAAACCCACAGUGCCCAAGGAGGUGCCGGGAGCCCUCUGGCUAUUCCAGGUGGUAAUUAAUGGGGAGAGGCCCCCAAGGAAGGUUCCCUGAUGCCUGGAGCCUUGCUGUGUCCCUAAUUUCCAGCCCCCCGGGUCAGUUGAGACAGAUUUCUGUGCAGAAAGUGUAAUUAAUGGCUGAGGCACUCAAGAUAUUAAUAGGUGGUAUUUCCACAUUCCUAUUUUACAUUAAGCCUGAAGGAGGGCUUUGAACACCCCCCGACCCUUCACAAUUAAAUACCAGCUUAGAAAAGCAGUUUUCCCUUCCUUCCUUCACUCCCGCUGCCCGGCCCAAUGCCGGGGGGUGCUGCCCAGCUGCAGGAUGCUCGGGGGCACACGGGGUCCCUACCCCCCAUUCCCUGGGCAGGCACAGAGCA